rnacentral:rRNA from 1 species
ACGAACGCUGGCGGCGUGCUUAACCCAUGCAAGUCGAACGGAAAGGCCCUGCUUGCAGGGUGCUCGAGUGGCGAACGGGUGAGUAACACGUGGGUGUUCUGCCCCUUACUUUGGGAUAAGCUGGGAAACUGGGUCUAAUACUGGAUAGGACCAUGCUGUAGGUGGUGUGGUGGAAAGAUUAGUUUCGGUAAGGGAUGAGCUCGCGGCCUAUCAGCUUGUUGGUGGGGUAAUGGCCUACCAAGGCGUCGACGGGUAGCCGGCCUGAGAGGGUGGACGGCCACAUUGGGACUGAGAUACGGCCCAGACUCCUACGGGAGGCAGCAGUGGGGAAUAGUGCACAAUGGGCGCAAGCCUGAUGCAGCGACGCCGCGUGGGGGAUGACGGCCUUCGGGUUGUAAACUCCUUUCAGCCAUGACGAAGCCCUUGUGGUGACGGUAGUGGUAGAAGAAGCACCGGCUAACUACGUG